rnacentral:rRNA from 1 species
UCCCAGCAGUCCAAGUCGCAGCCACAUUUGUUGGGUCUAAAACAUCCGUAGCUUGCUAUUCAAGUCUUUUGUGAAAUCGGGACUCUUAAGGUUCCGGCGGGCAAAAGAUACUGUUUAGCUAGAGACCGGAAGACGCAUCGAGUACAGAAAGGGUAGUGGUAAAAUACGUUGAUCCUUUCUGGACUAACAACAGCGAAGGCACGGUGCGAGCACGGUUCUGACAGUGAGGGAUGAAGGCUAGGGGCGCAAAGUG